rnacentral:rRNA from 1 species
AACGAACGCUGGCGGCAUGCCUAACACAUGCAAGUCGAACGAGACCUUCGUGUCUAGUGGCGCACGGGUGCGUAACGCGUGGGAACCUGCCUUUAGGUUCGGAAUAACUCAGAGAAAUUUGAGCUAAUACCGGAUGAUGUCUUCGGACCAAAGAUUUAUCGCCUUUAGAUGGGCCCGCGUUGGUUUAGCUAGUUGGUGGGGUAAAGGCCUACCAAGGCGACGAUCCAUAGCUGGUCUGAGAGGAUGAUCAGCCACACUGGGACUGAGACACGGCCCAGACUCCUACGGGAGGCAGCAGUGGGGAAUAUUGGACAAUGGGCGAAAGCCUGAUCCAGCAAUGCCGCGUGAGUGAUGAAGGCCUUAGGGUUGUAAAGCUCUUUUACCCGCGAUGAUAAUGACAGUAGCGGGAGAAUAAGCUCCGGCUAACUCCGUG